GCGCUCAAAGAGGGGCCCGCGCCUGAUUAGCUAGUUGGUGGGGUAAUGGCUCACCAAGGCAUCGAUCAGUAUCCGGCCUGAGAGGGCGGACGGACACACUGGGACUGAGACACGGCCCAG
rnacentral:rRNA from 1 species